ensembl:ncRNA F31C3.16 ncRNA
AAAAGGAAACAAAAAACUCAAUCAAAGGAUAGUCUCAACAGAUCGCAGUAUAAAAGGACUGCUCUACUGAAUACAACACCUUGACCAAGAGACCAAGUCGUAUGCAAGUGAUUUAGCGCCCCGACAUUGAACCAGAGUGAUCUGGCGUUGGCAAGCGUCGCAGAAUUCACUACGACGCCAAGGCCAUACAUAGGGCAUAAGCUCUCGUGUUGCCACGAGAUAGAGAUGCCUCCCGACACCGGGAAGCAAGAAAUUUUCGCCUUGACAAGGCGAGAUUCUAACUUAGAGGCGUUCAGUUA